AGAGUUUGAUCAUGGCUCAGAUUGAACGCUGGCGGCAUGCCUUACACAUGCAAGUCGAACGGCAGCGCGGGGCAACCUGGCGGCGAGUGGCGAACGGGUGAGUAAUAUAUCGGAACGUACCCUGGAGUGGGGGAUAACGUAGCGAAAGUUACGCUAAUACCGCAUACGAUCUAAGGAUGAAAGCAGGGGACCGCAAGGCCUUGUGCUCCUGGAGCGGCCGAUAUCUGAUUAGCUAGUUGGUGGGGUAAAGGCCUACCAAGGCAUCGAUCAGUAGCUGGUCUGAGAGGACGACCAGCCACACUGGAACUGAGACACGGUCCAGACUCCUACGGGAGGCAGCAGUGGGGAAUUUUGGACAAUGGGCGCAAGCCUGAUCCAGCAAUGCCGCGUGAGUGAAGAAGGCCUUCGGGUUGUAAAGCUCUUUUGUCAGGGAAGAAACGGUGCGGGCUAAUAUCCCGCGCUAAUGACGGUACCUGAAGAAUAAGCACCGGCUAACUACGUGCCAGCAGCCGCGGUAAUACGUAGGGUGCAAGCGUUAAUCGGAAUUACUGGGCGUAAAGCGUGCGCAGGCGGUUUUGUAAGUCUGACGUGAAAUCCCCGGGCUCAACCUGGGAAUUGCGUUGGAGACUGCAAGGCUAGAAUCUGGCAGAGGGGGGUAGAAUUCCACGUAGCAGUGAAAUGCGUAGAGAUGUGGAGGAACACCGAUGGCGAAGGCAGCCCCCUGGGUCAAGAUUGACGCUCAUGCACGAAAGCGUGGGGAGCAAACAGGAUUAGAUACCCUAGUAGUCC
rnacentral:rRNA from 1 species